AUGAGCAUGGCGGCCAUGAGAUGCCUCAGACCAGGCGGCGCUCGUCGCCGGCAGUGCCCUCUCCUCGCCGCCUUCUGCUCCUCGCUCGUCGACGGGCUCGCGCACCUGGAGGCCACGCUGUCCGCCGAAGAUGAUGACGGCGGUGGCGGGUCCGCGGUGUCGAUGAGGUGGUGCGCCGACGCCAUGCGCCUGGUGAGGCGGAUGCAGCGGGACCUGCUGGCCGUCUUCAGGAGCGCCGACGCGCGGGCCGACCCCUGCGGCGGCGAGGACUGGCUGGAGCAGUACAUGCAGGAGACGGCGGCGCUGCUGGACUUCUGCAACGCGUUCAAGUCCGCCGUGUCGCGGAUGCACCGCUACUGCAUGGUGGUGGACUUCGCCGCGCAGGUGGGCUGCGCCGGCGCCGGGGGUGUCGCCGCCUCGCUCGUUGCUGAGAGCGCCGGGCCGCCGAAGGAGACGGACGCGCCGUCCUCGCCGGCCGCCGCCGUCCGCGCUAAGCUGUCGGACGUGAAGGCAGUGGUGAGCGAGGCGGAGCGGCUGGGGGGAAAGAUCAUCUCCAGCUCCACCGGAAGCGGCAGCAUGGUCCUCGUCACGCUCGUCGCCAAGAUCACAAUGGCCGUCGUGGCCACCUCCGUGCUCCACGCGCUCACCCACGCCUCACCCCCUUCCCUCCUCGACGACGACGUCGGCGUCGGCGGCGCGCACCCGCGCAGCAGCACGCUCGCCCGCGCCGCCGUCCCAGAGCAGCUGCGGCCGUGGCGCGAGUCGCUGUCGGCGAUCAACGACCGUGUGGCGGCGCUGCCGGCGAGCAUCGCGGAGCACGAGAGUGUCGUCACGGCGGUGAGGGACAUGAUCGGCGGCAAGACGGAAGAGUCCGAGGAUCAUGUGGAGCUGCUGAGGACGAGGUCCGGCGAGCUCCGGGAGGGGGUGGAGAUGUUCGACUGUGUUCUUGAUCAGGUCUUUGAUGAGGUGAUCAGGGGCAGGAAUGAGAUGCUGGGGAUCUUCAGAGACAAGGUCCUCACAAAACUGAAUCGGGGUGAAUUUUAA
rnacentral:rRNA from 1 species